rnacentral:rRNA from 1 species
AGCGAACGCUGGCGGCAGGCCUAACACAUGCAAGUCGAACGGCAGCACAGUAAGUGCUUGCUCUUACGGGUGGCGAGUGGCGGACGGGUGAGGAAUACAUCGGAAUCUACUUUUUCGUGGGGGAUAACGUAGGGAAAUUUACGCUAAUACAGCAUACGACCUACGGGUGAAGGCCGGGGAUCUUCGGACUUUGCGCGAUGGAAUGAGCCGACGUGGGAUUAGCUAGUUGGCGGGGUAAAGGCCCUCGAAGGCGACCAUCCGUAGCUGGUCUGAGAGGAAGAACAGCCAGCCUGGAGGUGAGGCAGGGUCCAGACACCGACGCGGGGAAACGGUGGAGAAUAUUGGGCGAGGGGGGAAAGCCGGAUCCUGCCAUACGGCGUGGAUGAAGAUGGACUUAGGGUGGGAGAGCGAUGUUGUUGGUAGAGAAGUACAGCACGUUAAUCCGGCACUGUACUGACGGUACCCGAAGAAUAAGCACCGGCUAACUUCGUG